rnacentral:rRNA from 1 species
AUUCAAUUACACACUAAUUAAAUAUUACUAUUAAGUCCACCUUCUUAUAAAAUAUAAACUUUAAAAUCCGGAAAAAUAAAUUAAUUAUAGUAGCUCAUUAAACCUUUUUUAUAAGCUGCAUUAUGACUUGACAUAAAAACAUUAAAAUUUAAUAGUUUUUUAAUUAAUUCUCAAAACAUAAACUGACGACAGCAAUAUACAAACUGAAUUAAUAUAAUUUUCAAAAAAAAGUAAGUUUAAAUUGAGGAUUAUCAAAUAAAUUAACAAGCUCCCCUAAUUGGAUAUGAAAGACCGCCAAACUUUUUAAGUUUUAAAUAUAAAUAUUCAUAAUAUAUAUAUAUAUAUAUAUAUAUAUAUAUAUAUAUAAUAAAAUACUAUUCAUAAUACUCAAGUAAANNUCCAUCUAAAUUACAA